AUAAUAUGAAUCCUACCAUGGGCACUGAAUUGGAAAAUUCCACAAAUCACACUGUUGCAUUGGUUAUACAACCCCGGUGUCACCUCCAGCAGACCAACUUUGUAUGGACAGACUCCUUAACAGAUAGACAGUUUGGCAAAUUCCGCUUUGGUAUUGGACUCAGAACAGACACCACCUCAGGCACCAACUUUGUGAAAAAGACCUUGACAUCUCUCCUGCAGGUGAGGGGUACGGAGCAGGUUUAUGUCACAGUGACUGCAGAGACCAACCGCAGUGACGUCAUGCUAGUUAUCAUCUCAUGCAAGCUUGUGAGCAAAAAGAACAAAACCAGGUCCUACUUCAUCCAGGAUGGGUGCUUAGAUAAUAAUACAGCAAAGAAAAUCUCAAGGGAGGACAACACAAUGGUCUUCACGCUGCGUUUCUCAGGAGUAACCCAAGUUCCUAGCUCCUCUGUGGUAUUUAUAAGCUGUGAAGUAAAGCUGUGCCUGAACUCCAACCAGUCACAGUCCUGUGCUUCCAACUGCCCCUCAACCUUGUUUUCCAAGCAACCAUUAGACUCACUGCUAGAAACAGAAACUUAUCAUCUGACCACCAGACUUAUCCAAGUGAUCCGGGAGCCAAAGAAAUGUAAGUAUAAAGCUAUGGACUUCACUGCAUUUCAAAUACUAUAUGUCUUAAUCCAUACAUAACAGUAUUUGUAAUGGC